GGGUUGUGAGGUUAAGCGACUAAGCGUACACGGUGGAUGCCCUGGCAGUCAGAGGCGAUGAAGGACGUGCUAAUCUGCGAAAAGCGCCGGCGAGGUGAUAUGAACCUUUGACCCGGCGAUGUCCGAAUGGGGAAACCCAGUGCAAUCCGUUGCACUAUCGUUAACUGAAUACAUAGGUUAACGAGGCGAACCGGGGGAACUGAAACAUCUAAGUACCCCGAGGAAAAGAAAUCAACCGAGAUUCCCCCAGUAGCGGCGAGCGAACGGGGAGCAGCCCGGAGUCUGAAUCAGCUUGUGUGUUAGUGGAACGGUCUGGAAAGUCCGACGGUACAGGGUGAUAGUCCCGUACACGAAAAUGCACAGGUUGUGAACUCGAAGAGUAGGGCGGGACACGUGGUAUCCUGUCUGAAUAUGGGGGGACCAUCCUCCAAGGCUAAAUACUCCUGACUGACCGAUAGUGAACCAGUACCGUGAGGGAAAGGCGAAAAGAACCCCGGCGAGGGGAGUGAAAAAGAACCUGAAACCGUGUACGUACAAGCAGUGGGAGCCUCUUUAUGGGGUGACUGCGUACCUUUUGUAUAAUGGGUCAGCGACUUAUAUUCUGUAGCAAGGUUAACCGUAUAGGGGAGCCGAAGGGAAACCGAGUCUUAACUGGGCGUUAAGUUGCAGGGUAUAGACCCGAAACCCGGUGAUCUAGCCAUGGGCAGGUUGAAGGUUGGGUAACACUAACUGGAGGACCGAACCGACUAAUGUUGAAAAAUUAGCGGAUGACCUGUGGCUGGGGGUGAAAGGCCAAUCAAACCGGGAGAUAGCUGGUUCUCCCCGAAAGCUAUUUAGGUAGCGCCUCGUGAAUUCAUCUUCGGGGGUAGAGCACUGUUUCGGCUAGGGGGCCAUCCCGGCUUACCAACCCGAUGCAAACUACGAAUACCGAAGAAUGUUAUCACGGGAGACACACGGCGGGUGCUAACGUCCGUCGUGAAGAGGGAAACAACCCAGACCGCCAGCUAAGGUCCCAAAGUCAUGGUUAAGUGGGAAACGAUGUGGGAAGGCACAGACAGCCAGGAUGUUGGCUUAGAAGCAGCCAUCAUUUAAAGAAAGCGUAAUAGCUCACUGGUCGAGUCGGCCUGCGCGGAAGAUGUAACGGGGCUAAACCAUGCACCGAAGCUGCGGCAGCGACGCUUAUGCGUUGUUGGGUAGGGGAGCGUUCUGUAAGCCGUUGAAGGUGUCCUGUGAGGGGUGCUGGAGGUAUCAGAAGUGCGAAUGCUGACAUAAGUAACGAUAAAGCGGGUGAAAAGCCCGCUCGCCGGAAGACCAAGGGUUCCUGUCCAACGUUAAUCGGGGCAGGGUGAGUCGACCCCUAAGGCGAGGCCGAAAGGCGUAGUCGAUGGGAAACAGGUUAAUAUUCCUGUACUUGGUGUUACUGCGAAGGGGGGACGGAGAAGGCUAUGUCAGCCGGGCGACGGUUGUCCCGGUUUAAGCAUGUAGGCGGAGGUUCCAGGUAAAUCCGGUACCUUAUUAACGCUGAGGUGUGAUGACGAGGCACUACGGUGCUGAAGUGAUAAAUGCCCUGCUUCCAGGAAAAGCCUCUAAGCAUCAGGUAACACGAAAUCGUACCCCAAACCGACACAGGUGGUCAGGUAGAGAAUACCAAGGCGCUUGAGAGAACUCGGGUGAAGGAACUAGGCAAAAUGGUGCCGUAACUUCGGGAGAAGGCACGCUGAUAUGUAGGUGAAGUCCCUGCGGACGGAGCUGAAAUCAGUCGAAGAUACCAGCUGGCUGCAACUGUUUAUUAAAAACACAGCACUGUGCAAACACGAAAGUGGACGUAUACGGUGUGACGCCUGCCCGGUGCCGGAAGGUUAAUUGAUGGGGUUAGCGGCAACGCGAAGCUCUUGAUCGAAGCCCCGGUAAACGGCGGCCGUAACUAUAACGGUCCUAAGGUAGCGAAAUUCCUUGUCGGGUAAGUUCCGACCUGCACGAAUGGCGUAAUGAUGGCCAGGCUGUCUCCACCCGAGACUCAGUGAAAUUGAACUCGCUGUGAAGAUGCAGUGUACCCGCGGCAAGACGGAAAGACCCCGUGAACCUUUACUAUAGCUUGACACUGAACACUGGUCCUUGAUGUGUAGGAUAGGUGGGAGGCUUUGAAGCGUGGACGCCAGUCUGCGUGGAGCCAACCUUGAAAUACCACCCUUUAAUGGCUGGUGUUCUAACGUAGACCCGUAAUCCGGGUUGCGGACAGUGUCUGGUGGGUAGUUUGACUGGGGCGGUCUCCUCCCAAAGAGUAACGGAGGAGCACGAAGGUUGGCUAAUCCUGGUCGGACAUCAGGAGGUUAGUGCAAUGGCAUAAGCCAGCUUGACUGCGAGCGUGACGGCGCGAGCAGGUGCGAAAGCAGGUCAUAGUGAUCCGGUGGUUCUGAAUGGAAGGGCCAUCGCUCAACGGAUAAAAGGUACUCCGGGGAUAACAGGCUGAUACCGCCCAAGAGUUCAUAUCGACGGCGGUGUUUGGCACCUCGAUGUCGGCUCAUCACAUCCUGGGGCUGAAGUAGGUCCCAAGGGUAUGGCUGUUCGCCAUUUAAAGUGGUACGCGAGCUGGGUUUAGAACGUCGUGAGACAGUUCGGUCCCUAUCUGCCGUGGGCGCUGGAGAAUUGAGGGGGGCUGCUCCUAGUACGAGAGGACCGGAGUGGACGCAUCACUGGUGUUCGGGUUGUCAUGCCAAUGGCACUGCCCGGUAGCUAAAUGCGGAAGAGAUAAGUGCUGAAAGCAUCUAAGCACGAAACUUGCCCCGAGAUGAGUUCUCCCUGAGACUUUAAGUCUCCUGAAGGAACGUUGAAGACGACGACGUUGAUAGGUCGGGUGUGUAAGCGCAGCGAUGCGUUGAGCUAACCGAUACUAAUGAACCGUGAGGCUUAACCUUACAACGCCGAAGCUGUU
rnacentral:rRNA from 1 species